rnacentral:lncRNA from 1 species
AGAUGUAUAUCCUAGAAGCCAAUAUAGCUGACCCAUUGUAAUAACUCUAAGACAUAAUUUUGUACUUAAUACAUUGAUAUAAUCAAUAAAAAGAUAAAUUUAUUUUUUAUUCAAGUGUGAUGUGUCCUUGAAUCGUUCAUGGAUUUAACUUUCGAUACAUAUUCUCAAGAUAUUGAGAAUUAGAGAUAUGUAUUUAAUUCUUAAAUACUCCCAAUCAUAGGAUUAUCAUG